UAACGCGUGGGUAACCUGGCCCAUACAGGGGGAUAACACUUAGAAAUAGGUGCUAAUACCGCAUAACAACAGAAAGCGCAUGCUUUUUGUUUGAAAACCAAGGUGGUAUGGGAUGGACCCGCGUCUGAUUAGCUGGUUGGCGGGGUAAAGGCCCACCAAGGCGACGAUCAGUAGCCGGCCUGAGAGGGUGGACGGCCACAUUGGGACUGAGACACGGCCCAAACUCCUACGGGAGGCAGCAGUGGGGAAUAUUGCACAAUGGGGGAAACCCUGAUGCAGCGACGCCGCGUGAGUGAAGAAGUAAUUCGUUAUGUAAAGCUCUAUCAGCAGGGAAGAAAAUGACGGUACCUGAGUAAGAAGCCCCGGCUAACUACGUGCCAGCAGCCGCGGUAAUACGUAGGGGGCAAGCGUUAUCCGGAUUUACUGGGUGUAAAGGGAGCGUAGACGGCAGUGCAAGUCUGGAGUGAAAGGCGGGGGCUCAACCCCCGGACUGCUCUGGAAACUGUACGGCUGGAGUGCAGGAGAGGUAGGCGGAAUUCCUAGUGUAGCGGUGAAAUGCGUAGAUAUUAGGAGGAACACCAGUGGCGAAGGCGGCUUACUGGACCGUAACUGACGUUGAGGCCCGAAAGCGUGGGGAGCAAACAGGAUUAGAUACCCUGGUAGUCCACGCCGUAAACGAUGACUACUAGGUGU
rnacentral:rRNA from 1 species